AGUGGGAUAACUGGGUCAGAUGGUGAUUCCAUUCCUAUUUUUUUUGAGCAAUCUCCAUACUGCUUUUCAGAGUGGUUGCACCAAUUUGCAGUCCCACAAGCAAU
rnacentral:pre_miRNA from 1 species